ACAAUUCCCGUGCUGUCCUCCUACCUUCAUGUCCCCAAUACUCUCAGCUCUUCCUCCUGUUCUAGGUGAAGUACCCAGGGAAGAUGAACACUCCCAGCCCACAGCAUUGCUUUCCCAAAUUGUGGACCUCAGGAUUUCUGCAAUAGAAUCACCCAACUGAAUCAGAAUUUCUAGAGGAAAUAUGCAAUCCAUUGGAUAAUAAGACAGAAUUGGAUAAUAAAUGGAAAUGAAGAUGGAUCCA
rnacentral:lncRNA from 1 species